UCCCGCCUACGGGGGGCAGCAGUGGGGGAUAUUGCACAAUGGGGGGAACCCUGAUGCAGCGACGCCGCGUGGGUGAAGAAGCGCCUCGGCGCGUAAAGCCCUGUCAGCAGGGAAGAAAAUGACGGUACCUGAAGAAGAAGCCCCGGCUAACUACGUGCCAGCAGCCGCGGUAAUACGUAGGGGGCAAGCGUUAUCCGGAUUUACUGGGUGUAAAGGGGGCGCAGACGGCGAUGCAAGCAAGGAGUGAAAGCGCGGGGCCCAACCACGGGACUGCUCGUGGAGCUGCGUGGCUGGAGUGCAGGAGG
rnacentral:rRNA from 1 species